rfam:Bacillus shackletonii strain LMG 18435 super49, whole genome shotgun sequence.
GGAUUUCCGUCGAGUAGAACUGGUCAUUCGCUCGUAGCGAGUCUUGGAGGGCUAAAGGUCACUUUAGUCCUUUAAGCGUAGACAGUUAGGUGAUGGGCCGAAAGCAAAAUGGUUGAAGGGAUUGAGCUCCAUAUUGUUAGUAAACCGAUACGGAUGAUGCUUUAAGCGCAGCAAAAAGCUACAAAAAUGCUAACAAUAGCAGAAUUAGCAAAAUCUGAACCUAAAGGAUA